rnacentral:lncRNA from 1 species
AUCUUCUACACGGAGGUACACAAACCUUACACCAUUUUAUAAAACCUAAAACGUAAGACCAACAACACACCUCCCUCACCUCUCUCUACAUAAAGAACACACACCAAUACACAAAAGAGAAAGGAACGAGCACAAACAAAACAGGACAAAAAAUGGAAAAUCGAAAAGGGAACUAAGUUUGGUUUUGGUUUCGGUACUUCUCUUCUGUGAUUUGUCAUUUUAGUUCUUUGAUAAGAAAUGCAGUCCAAUUUGAUUUCAAACUUGAAAAAUACAUAAAAACAUUUUAGUUUUAUUUUGCGGUUUUCAAUCCUGGGGUUUAGUUGAAAUUCAAGGUUGGUUUGUUGUAUAUGGUUUCAAGUUUGCUGUCCAAUUGCUAUGUUCGAGGUUGUCUCCGGCGUGGUUUACAGUUUGUCGCUGUAUUCGAUUGAGAUCCCUAUUUUGAUUCGGGUUUAUCUUUGCUGCUUUGUACUGGAGUUGAGAUCCUGUGCUCUUGAACUUCAAUUAAAAGGUUUAUUUCUCACUCUACUUCCUCUUAGAUUUUCAAAUUGCAAAUUGCUAUUGUUGUUUGAAGGAAUAUUUGGCUGGUUUUUUUCUGCUCUUUAACUUUAAGUGUAUACUUGAGAAGGUAUCGUCUUUAGUUUGUUAGAAUGUGACUCGUUGAGGUGCUGUGUAGCCGAGCUCGUGCUUGAGAUCUUUCCCUGCUUAUAUAGCUAUUUAGGUAUGACACACAUUUUGUGACAAGUACUGUAGUGCAAUAUUUGUUCUUUCAUCUUUUUGGCUACACCUGAAUCUUCUUAUUGUUUGUAUAUACAAGCCACUCCCUUCCAAGGUAAGGAAUAGGGGUAAGGUCUGCGUACAUACUACCUUCCCAGACCCCACUAAGUGGGAUUAUACUGGGUUGUUCUUGUUGUUGUUGUUGUUAUAUAAGCCACUCCCUAUGUUCGUUCUUCCAAGUGAAUGAAAGAGUUGCAGAGUUCAAAUUUUGCUAUCCCCUAUUUUUUUUUGGUUUUAAUUAUUCACACCUUUCGUCCACCAUUAUUUAACUACUCAAAAUCAUUUUUCGUUAGCUGAACAAGACC